UAGGGAAUCUUCCGCAAUGGGCGAAAGCCUGACGGAGCAACGCCGCGUGAGUGAUGAAGGUCUUCGGAUCGUAAAACUCUGUUAUUAGGGAAGAACAAAUGUGUAAGUAACUAUGCACGUCUUGACGGUACCUAAUCAGAAAGCCACGGCUAACUACGUGCCAGCAGCCGCGGUAAUACGUAGGUGGCAAGCGUUAUCCGGAAUUAUUGGGCGUAAAGCGCGCGUAGGCGGUUUUUUAAGUCUGAUGUGAAAGCCCACGGCCCAACCGGUGAGGGUCAUUGGAAACUGGAAAACUUGAGUGCAGAAGAGGAAAGUGGAAUUCCAUCUGUAGCGGUGAAAUGCGCAGAGAUAUGGAGGAACACCAGUGGCGAAGGCGACUUGCUGGUCUGUAACUGACGCUGAUGUGCGAAAGCGUGGGGAUCAAACAGG
rnacentral:rRNA from 1 species